rnacentral:rRNA from 1 species
CCUACGGGGGGCUGCAGUGGGGAAUAUUGCACAAUGGGCGCAAGCCUGAUGCAGCCAUGCCGCGUGUGUGAAGAAGGCCUUCGGGUUGUAAAGCACUUUCAGCGGGGAGGAAGGCGUUAAGGUUAAUAACCUUGGCGAUUGACGUUACCCGCAGAAGAAGCACCGGCUAACUCCGUGCCAGCAGCCGCGGUAAUACGGAGGGUGCAAGCGUUAAUCGGAAUUACUGGGCGUAAAGCGCACGCAGGCGGUCUGUCAAGUCGGAUGUGAAAUCCCCGGGCUCAACCUGGGAACUGCAUUCGAAACUGGCAGGCUAGAGUCUUGUAGAGGGGGGUAGAAUUCCAGGUGUAGCGGUGAAAUGCGUAGAGAUCUGGAGGAAUACCGGUGGCGAAGGCGGCCCCCUGGACAAAGACUGACGCUCAGGUGCGAAAGCGUGGGGAGCAAUCAGGAUUAGAUACCCCAGUAGUC